AAGUCGCUACGGGAAAAGCUAGAGCUGAGGUGAGCCGGCGCGGCGUUUGGCGACCGCAGCCAGAGUCUGUCUCUCCGCCCCCGCGGUUGCGUCUUUCCCGGCGCCACGCCGAGGUCCGGCGCGGGACAACCUGGGAAGCCCGGGCUCGCCUUCCUCCCACGUCCCUCAGCGGAGCCUCCCCGGGGCCUGAGGCAGGCGGCUGGCCGAAGGUGCGCGGAGUGCGGCUCGCUCCGGGCGUCUCGCGGACCGGACGACGAGCCGGACCGGAGGUUGGGAGGUCCGAGUUCUCGUCCCCACGCCACGGGCUUUUAAAGUGUCGUGGCCUUAGCCUGCCCUGUCGGCAUUAGUAAAAUGAUAGUAGCCACCUGGGAGCGCGGAGGCUGGGGGAGGGGAGGGAGAGCCUCGGGCGGAUCUU
rnacentral:lncRNA from 1 species